GUGUGUGUGUGUGUGUGUGUGUGUGUAUGGGUGAGAGAGUGCAGCACGCAUGUGUAUUUUUAGUAUAGUGUGUGUGUGUGUGUGUGGGGGUGUGUGUAUGGGUGAGAGAGUGCAGCACGCAUGUGUAUUUUUAGUAGUGUGUGUGUGUGUGGGGGGGGUGUAUGGGUGAGAGAGUGCAGCACGCAUGUGUAUUUUUAGUAGUGUGUGUGUGUGUGGGAGAGUGCAGCACGCAUGUGUAUUUUUAGCAGUUUCUGUUGUGUGUAUGUAUUAUGCCCUGCCUCCUGGUGAUGCUGUGUCUGUGUAACCAUCAGCGAAGCCCCUACCAUUUCACCUUAAGCUGGUCCUCAUUUCUAGCUCAAUAUUGGAUACCAGGAUUGAAGCCUGCUUUCUUGUUAACUAAUUUGCCAUAGUUCCAUCUACUUGACCUGCUGAGUAGACUCUGAUGCAUCUAUAGCAGGUGCAUUGGGAGUGAGUACAUUGUGACCAAUGUGUCCACGCUGUCAGAAGCCCGUACAGUAAAUUCUCUCUCACGGGCCGCUACGGUGGGUCAUCAGCCCGUUGUGUGGAAUCCACAAAACCCUCAUUUGAUUUUUUUUUUUUUUUUUUUUUUUUGGGAUCAUACAUGGAGCUCACUCACUCUUUUGCCUGAGUAUUAUGAUGGCACAUCAAAAAGACCACACUACAGAAUUCCACAUACAACACUUGGGUUUCCAGAAUCAUCAAAUGUUAAUUAUCAUGAAUGUCCAGCAUUGAGAUGUGUGUUGUGAUAGCAUAUCGGGGGUACUGUGGGGUUCUGUUUGGAAGCAAGAGGGAAGGGAAGUGGGGUAGGUAUUGGAGGGUGGAUGAGUUGUAUUUUUGUAAAACUGAAACCACAGUUCUUGUUUAUUAAGAAUGGACAGCACUUUGCAGAUGACUGGGUAGCCAUGCUCGCUACUGAGUGUGUCAGAAACAGAAAGUGGUGUCAAAUUUUUAUUUAUCAUUGAAUUUGUUUUUUAAGACACCUGUAGGGAACCAAAACUCCAAACUAUACAGUGCCACUUGUUAAUGUUGUGUAAAUAUACUAGACCAUGUAAAUACAAUGUUGUGUGUGUAUAUAAAAAAAAUCUUUAAAAUAAAAGGGAAAAUGAUUUGUGAG
ensembl:lncRNA